UACAGAGACGGCAAGCGUUGUUCGGAUUCAUUGGGCGUAAAGGGUGCGCAGGCGGCUCGUUAAGUCGGGUGUGAAAUCUCACAGCCUAACUGUGAUAGGUCAUUCGAAACUAGCGGGCUUGAGGACUGGAGAGGAGACUGGAAUGGUCGGUGUAGCGGUGAAAUGCGUAGAGAUCGACCAGAACACCAGUGGCGAAGGCGAGUCUCUGGACAGUUCCUGACGCUCAGGCACGAAAGCCAGGGGAGCAAACGGG
rnacentral:rRNA from 1 species